GCCCAGCCGUAAACAAUUAAUUUACACCUAUGAGCGCCAGGGAACUACGAGCCAUGCUUAAAACCCAAAGGAUUUGACGGUGUCCCACCCCCCUAGAGGAGCCUGUUCUAUAAUCGAUGAUCCCCGCUAUACCCUACCGCUUCUUGCUUAUCAGUCUGUAUACCUCCGUCGAAAGCUUACCAUGUGAACGUUGCAACAGUAAGUUCAAUGACUAACAUCAAUACGUCAGGUCAAGGUGCAGCUUAAGAAACGGAAAGUGAUGGGCUACACUUUCUAAUCUAGAACAAACGAAAGACUAUGUGAAACCAUGGUCACGAAGGCGGAUUUACUACUAAAAAGAAAAUAGAGUGUUCUUUUUAACCCGGCUCUGGGACGUGUACACACCGCCCGUCACCCUCUUCGAUAGUGCUAUCCUAUAGUCCAUAACCCAUUUCUACGUCCUAGAAGAGGCAAGUCGUAACAUGGUAAGUGUACUGGAAAGUGCACUUGGUAUAUCACGAAAUAUAGCUUAA
rnacentral:rRNA from 1 species